AGGGGCGUAGUUAAACGGUUUAACAUCGGUCUCCAAAACCGUCGAAGAGGGUUCGACUCCUUCCGCCCCUG
rnacentral:tRNA from 1 species